ensembl:snRNA U6 U6 spliceosomal RNA
GUGCUCAUUGCAGCAGUACACAUACUAAAAUGGAUGAAUAGAGAAGAUUAGCAUGGCCCAUGCACAAGGAUGGCAUGCAAAUUUGUGAAGUGUUCCUAGUAAAC